rnacentral:rRNA from 1 species
AUACAGAGGUGGCAAGCGUUGUUCGGAUUUAUUGGGCGUAAAGGGUCCGUAGGCGGUUUGGAAAGUCGGAUGUGAAAUUCCACAGCUCAACUGUGGAACUGCAUUCGAAACUCCCAGACUAGAGUACGAGAGGGGUAAGGGGAAUUCCGGGUGUAAGGGUGAAAUCUGCAGAGAUCCGGAGGAACACCAGUCGCGAAGGCGCCUUACUGGCUCGUCACUGACGCUGAGGGACGAAAGCUAGGGUAGCAAACGGGAUUAGAUACCCCAGUAGUCC